UACUGCGAAGGGGGGACGGAGAAGGCUAUGUUGGCCGGGCGACGGUUGUCCCGGUUUAAGCGUGUAGGCUGGUUUUCCAGGCAAAUCCGGAAAAUCAAGGCUGAGGCGUGAUGACGAGGCACUACGGUGCUGAAGCAACAAAUGCCCUGCUUCCAGGAAAAGCCUCUAAGCAUCAGGUAACAUCAAAUCGUACCCCAAACCGACACAGGUGGUCAGGUAGAGAAUACCAAGGCGCUUGAGAGAACUCGGGUGAAGGAACUAGGCAAAAUGGUGCCGUAACUUCGGGAGAAGGCACGCUGAUAUGUAGGUGAAGUCCCUUGCGGAUGGAGCUGAAAUCAGUCGAAGAUACCAGCUGGCUGCAACUGUUUAUUAAAAACACAGCACUGUGCAAACACGAAAGUGGACGUAUACGGUGUGACGCCUGCCCGGUGCCGGAAGGUUAAUUGAUGGGGUCAGCGCAAGCGAAGCUCUUGAUCGAAGCCCCGGUAAACGGCGGCCGUAACUAUAACGGUCCUAAGGUAGCGAAAUUCCUUGUCGGGUAAGUUCCGACCUGCACGAAUGGCGUAAUGAUGGCCAGGCUGUCUCCACCCGAGACUCAGUGAAAUUGAACUCGCUGUGAAGAUGCAGUGUACCCGCGGCAAGACGGAAAGACCCCGUGAACCUUUACUAUAGCUUGACACUGAACAUUGAGCCUUGAUGUGUAGGAUAGGUGGGAGGCUUUGAAGUGUGGACGCCAGUCUGCAUGGAGCCGGCCUUGAAAUACCACCCUUUAAUGUUUGAUGUUCUAACGUGGACCCGUGAUCCGGGUUGCGGACAGUGUCUGGUGGGUAGUUUGACUGGGGCGGUCUCCUCCUAAAGAGUAACGGAGGAGCACGAAGGUUGGCUAAUCCUGGUCGGACAUCAGGAGGUUAGUGCAAUGGCAUAAGCCAGCUUGACUGCGAGCGUGACGGCGCGAGCAGGUGCGAAAGCAGGUCAUAGUGAUCCGGUGGUUCUGAAUGGAAGGGCCAUCGCUCAACGGAUAAAAGGUACUCCGGGGAUAACAGGCUGAUACCGCCCAAGAGUUCAUAUCGACGGCGGUGUUUGGCACCUCGAUGUCGGCUCAUCACAUCCUGGGGCUGAAGUAGGUCCCAAGGGUAUGGCUGUUCGCCAUUUAAAGUGGUACGCGAGCUGGGUUUAGAACGUCGUGAGACAGUUCGGUCCCUAUCUGCCGUGGGCGCUGGAGAACUGAGGGGGGCUGCUCCUAGUACGAGAGGACCGGAGUGGACGCAUCACUGGUGUUCGGGUUGUCAUGCCAAUGGCACUGCCCGGUAGCUAAAUGCGGAAGAGAUAAGUGCUGAAAGCAUCUAAGCACGAAACUUGCCCCGAGAUGAGUUCUCCCUGACCCUUUAAGGGUCCUGAAGGAACGUUGAAGACGACGACGUUGAUAGGCCGGGUGUGUAAGCGCAGCGAUGCGUUGAGCUAACCGGUACUAAUGAACCGUGAGG
rnacentral:rRNA from 1 species